rnacentral:rRNA from 1 species
GACGAACGCUGGCGGCGUGCUUAACACAUGCAAGUCGAACGGAAAGGCCCUUCGGGGUACUCGAGUGGCGAACGGGUGAGUAACACGUGGGUGAUCUGCCCUGCACUUUGGGAUAAGCCUGGGAAACUGGGUCUAAUACCGAAUAGGACCACGGCAUUCAUGUGCUGUGGUGGAAAGCUUUUGCGGUGUGGGAUGGGCUCGCGGCCUAUCAGCUUGUUGGGGGGGUAAUGGCCUACCAGGGCGACGACGGGUAGCCGGCCUGAGAGGGUGACCGGCCACACUGGGACUGAGAUACGGCCCGGACUCCUACGGGGGGCAGCAGUGGGGAAUAUUGCACAAUGGGCGCAAGCCUGAUGCAGCGACGCCGCGUGAGGGAUGACGGCCUUCGGGUUGUAAACCUCUUUCGCCAGGGACGAAGCGCAAGUGACGGUACCUGGAGAAGAAGGACCGGCCAACUACGUGCCAGCAGCCGCCGUAAAAC